rnacentral:rRNA from 1 species
AGUGAACGCUGGCGGUAGGCCUAACACAUGCAAGUCGAACGGCAGCACAGGAGAGCUUGUUCUCUGGGUGGCGAGUGGCGGACGGGUGAGGAAUACAUCGGAAUCUACUCUGUCGUGGGGGAUAACGUAGGGAAACUUACGCUAAUACCGCAUACGACCUACGGGUGAAAGCAGGGGACCUUCGGGCCUUGCGCGAUUGAAUGAUCCGAUGUCGGAUUAGCUAGUUGGCGGGGUAAAGGCCCACCAAGGGGACGAUCCGUAGCUGGUCUGAGAGGGUGAUCAGCCACACUGGAACUGAGACACGGGCCAGACUCCUACGGGAGGCAGCAGUGGGGAAUAUUGGACAAUGGGCGCAAGCCUGAUUCAGCCAUACCGCGUGGGUUAAGAAGGCCUUCGGGUUGUAAAGCCCUUUUGUUGGGAAAGAAAUCCAGCUGGCUAAUACCCGGUUGGGAUGACGGUACCCAAAGAAUAAGCACCGGCUAACUUCGUGCCAGCCGCCGCAGUAA